rfam:Toxocara canis scaffold306, whole genome shotgun sequence.
GAGGCAGUAGCUCAAUGAUAGAGCUCCCGUUUGGUUUAGGGGAAGACCUGGAUUCGAUUCCCGGCUGCUUCC